rnacentral:rRNA from 1 species
AUUGAACGCUGGCGGAAUGCUUUACACAUGCAAGUCGAACGGCAGCAUAGGUGCUUGCACCUGAUGGCGAGUGGCGAACGGGUGAGUAAUACAUCGGAACGUGCCCAGUCGUGGGGGAUAACGUAGCGAAAGUUACGCUAAUACCGCAUACGAUCUAAGGAUGAAAGCGGGGGACCGUAAGGCCUCGCGCGAUUGGAGCGGCCGAUGUCAGAUUAGGUAGUUGGUGAGGUAAAGGCGCACCAAGCCGACGAUCUGUAGCUGGUCUGAGAGGGCGACCAGCCACACUGGGACUGAGACAAGGCCCAGACUCCUACGGGAGGCAGCAGUGGGGAAUUUUGGACAAUGGACGCAAGUCUGAUCCAGCCAUUCCGCGUGCAGGACGAAGGCCUUCGGGUUGUAAACUGCUUUUGUACGGAACGAAAAAGCUCUUACUAAUACUAGGAGUCCAUGACGGUACCGUAAGAAUAAGCACCGGCUAACUACGUGCCAGCCGCCGCAGUAA